AUUGAACGCUGGCGGCAGGCCUAACACAUGCAAGUCGAGCGGAUGAAGGGAGCUUGCUCCUGGAUUCAGCGGCGGACGGGUGAGUAAUGCCUAGGAAUCUGCCUGGUAGUGGGGGACAACGUCCGGAAACGGGCGCUAGUACCGCAUACGUCCUGAGGGAGAAAGUGGGGGAUCUUCGGACCUCACGCUAUCAGAUGAGCCUAGGUCGGAUUAGCUAGUUGGUGGGGUAAAGGCCUACCAAGGCGACGAUCCGUAACUGGUCUGAGAGGAUGAUCAGUCACACUGGAACUGAGACACGGUCCAGACUCCUACGGGAGGCAGCAGUGGGGAAUAUUGGACAAUGGGCGAAAGCCUGAUCCAGCCAUGCCGCGUGUGUGAAGAAGGUCUUCGGAUUGUAAAGCACUUUAAGUUGGGAGGAAGGGCAGUAAGUUAAUACCUUGCUGUUUUGACGUUACCAACAGAAUAAGCACCGGCUAACUUCGUG
rnacentral:rRNA from 1 species